rnacentral:sRNA from 1 species
UGGUUCUACUUUUGUUU